GAUGAACGCUGGCGGCGUGCCUAAUACAUGCAAGUCGAGCGAACGGACGAGAAGCUUGCUUCUCUGAUGUUAGCGGCGGGCGGGUGAGUAACACGUGGAUAACCUACCUAUAAGACUGGGAUAACUUCGGGAAACCGGAGCUAAUACCGGAUAAUAUUUUGAACCGCAUGGUUCAAAAGUGAAAGACGGUCUUGCUGUCACUUAUAGAUGGAUCCGCGCUGCAUUAGCUAGUUGGUAAGGUAACGGCUUACCAAGGCAACGAUGCAUAGCCGACCUGAGAGGGUGAUCGGCCACACUGGAACUGAGACACGGUCCAGACUCCUACGGGAGGCAGUAGUAGGGAAUCUUCCGCAAUGGGCGAAAGCCUGACGGAGCAACGCCGCGUGAGUGAUGAAGGUCUUCGGAUCGUAAAACUCUGUUAUUAGGGAAGAACAUAUGUGUAAGUAACUGUGCACAUCUUGACGGUACCUAAUCAGAAAGCCACGGCUAACUACGUG
rnacentral:rRNA from 1 species